UACGUAGGUGGCAAGCGUUGUCCGGAUUUAUUGGGUUUAAAGGGUGCGUAGGCGGUCUAUUAAGUCAGUGGUGAAAUACUCCAGCUUAACUGGAGGGGUGCCAUUGAUACUGAUGGACUUGAGUGAAGUCGAGGUAGGCGGAAUUGACGGUGUAGCGGUGAAAUGCUUAGAUAUGACACAGAACACCGAUUGCGAAGGCAGCUCACAAAACUAUAACUGACGCUGAGGCACGAAAGCGUGGGGAUCAAACAGG
rnacentral:rRNA from 1 species